CACAUCACGGGGUGGGGGGACUGGCGCAAAAUGUCACAAGAAAACAGCAUCAUCACAGAGAACAUAUGGACACCACUACAGCAUCUGCACAGGGUCGACUCCAACUGAGGGCAAAAACUGGAAUAAAUUUACUUGUGGAACUUUGAUUUUGUUUUUUCAUGCCGGAUUUAUCAAGGAGACAGUCUUGGCAGGAUCAGAUGACACGGGUGAACUCCUCACUGGCGGCAGCAUUGUGCAACACCACCCAGUACUGAACUGUUGGGGGGGACGUCCUGUCCUGCACUGGACUGAAAAAGUCAUGAGAAAAAAAUUUUCCAUUAAAUAUUAAGAUAUGGAUCAAAAUUUGGGCCAAAUCCAAAAGUUGUAAAAGUUAUAGCAGGGUGUCUUUCUCUCUCACCAACCCCUCUGUAAACAAGUGUUCAAGUAAAGUGUUUCAUGGUAAGAGGAGGUGUAGUGAGAUCAGGGCGUCAGUUGGACAGUAAGGGUGUUUGGCUGAGAAGCGCUGAGAGUGUAAAUCAGAUCUUUGGGUAUAUAACAGCAGGGUUAAAUUAUUAACUGGGUGUUAAACAGAUUUUAAAGGUGAGAGAGAAAGCUCUUCAGCUAAUGACUGGUGUCCAAAUUGUUCAGACACACAUAUGGAAACCUCUGCUGUAUUUUCAGAUACUUGAUGGUAAUGGUAAAAAUAAAUACAGGUGCAGAAAUUAUUUUUAAAAAAUGCAAAAGAAGACUCCAUUGAAGCAGAAAAAUCUCUACAUAUGCAAAUUCUAAAAACAUAUAUGUUUUAUGUCUUUUAAAUGGAACAAAAAUAAGGUAUAAAGAUGCACAAAAUGAUGCAAAUAUCGCACCUAACUGUCUCUUAGAAUAAGAAUAAUAAUAAAAAGGACAAAGACCCACCCAUUUGCAAAAGCACAUCCAAGAAAUGUGAAUCUGCAUUUGUGUUUACAACAGUACAGAAACAGUACUCUCCUCUCUUGAGCCACGCCCCGGAAAAACUCAAACCUCAGCCAAGAUGCAGCCCAUCAGCCUCCAGUCUUUCCCUCCCUGAUCCCUUUUUGUUUACAGGAAGUAGCUGAAAGGAUAACACUUUAAAUUAGACCUGUCUCACUCAUCUUAUCUAUUCUUUCUCAGGUUCACCGUGCCCACAGCAACAGUCUUCCUGCAGUCACGGACAACGGCAUGAGAGCCCCUUAGCUAGAGUAAAGCACCAAAAACAGUUAAUUUUACACAUAACAAAACAGAACGAGUCUUAUAACAACCCACAAGGCAAUUUUCUGACAGAUCAUCCCUAAAAGAUUUGUUCAGUUUGAACUCAGAUUAGAAGGAGUUGCAUGAAAAUGACCACUUACUGCAGGAAGCCUCAGCCAAGCUAUGUUAAGAGAGAGCCUGUUGCUAGUGGCAACAGUGAACAGAUCAUGAUGACACUGUUGUCACUUUGGAAAUAUGAAACAUCACAAAGUCUCUUCAUAACCAUUAAAAUUUAAAUUUUCAGACUGAAAUACAUAUACAUAUAAUCACAGCCAAUAUUUGUGUUUUACUUUCAACUUGAGAGUGUACACUCUUAUGCCAAAAAAACAUUUGGAUUCAUUCAUUUUAAUGUUGCCAGUUUUCACCUGACAUUAGACAUCUAUAUUAUUUUUAUCUCUUAUCUUGACUUCAGUUAAUCAUGAGAUGACUUCAUUGUAAUGCCUCUGAGACCCUGACGCAGGCUUUUUGCAGAAACUGUUCCCCUGAAAUGAUGCACAUUUCAUCAGAUUUUCCUCAUAAUGUACAAGUGCCUUUUUGCUGUACAUGUAUCUGUAACAGGUUCUGUUAUGUGCACCACUGUAAACAAGGCACUGAAACACUGCAGAGAUUAGCCAAGUUCUUGUGCCUGGUUCUAGUGACCCGCAUUAUCCCAAAAGUGUAGAACUUUUAAAGAGGACCGAGAUACCAGGUUGAUUUUGCCAGUAAUCACAGAACCAAGAAACAGUCCAUUUUCUCAAUAAAAAAAAAAAAAACAUUGUUAAGAAAUGAAAAUGUUAAUCUGUGUGUGUGACUGUAUGUUAAACAAGUAUGUUUUUACAGCAAGAGAAAAGAGGUCAAACUUUAUACAUAUUUGCAUAUAUGUGUUAGGGUAAAUAACAGCUUGGCCUGGUGUACUAAUUAAGCACUAACAUCACUUUGCUACCGUAGCCAGGCAGAAAUUCAGCUGUGGAAAUAUCAGUGUCUGAAGUCACGAGUCUGGAUCCUGGAUUCAGCAACAACGCCCAGCCAGCUUUACUGUCCAGCCAGAGGGCCACUGUCGAUUCAGGAUCUCUCCCCACUUAAUCUGAGCGAUCACACAACAACCUAUGUCUACUUUAAUCAACUCUGAUCAGACUGGCAUCUGGAAGAUCAACAUAAAAAGUUAGAAGUGAUUAAUAAGGAGAUGGGGCAGCGACACAGACACGCCUGGAGGAAAAUCCCCUUAAGAUGAAGCUAAUCAACGUCAUUAGUAAAAGGAAAGAGGCUGUGUAGUUAGCGUUACUGAUGGAAAACUGUUUGAGAUUUAUUUCUGUCUUGUCUGGUUUGUUUGUCGUUAAAAUGCUUAAAUGAUUACAUGUGCAAUUGCACGAUCAGGAAAAGGUGCAAACAACUGUGUUUUUGUGUCCCUGCUAACCUUCUCUGCGUCUACUGUUAAAACUUUUAUUUCUUUGCAGGCAUGCUCUGCUUCAUGUUGUGUGUUUAGCCUUUCUGUACAUGUCAGACAAGACCUUGGACAGAAAGGAACUGGAAUAAAAAUGGUUGACUGUG